CUGAUCAAUGUAUUCUUUUACUGGGCUUUACUAUUAGCUGCUACUGCUAGUGAUUUGCUGAACAUAUUAAGAGCUGUGACAAGGGAUCACAGUAAAUCCAAGCUGGGGAAAUGAACUGUGUCAGCCCUCCAUCAAUGGGCACUGCGAUAGGAGGUUGUCAAAGCCCCAGGGACCAGGGUCUGACAUCGCAAUCCCUACUCUCAGCCUUCCCAGCCAGCCAGGACCACAGGCACAUGCUCCCAGCAAGCACAGACCAGCUAGAGACCCAACUAUGAUCUUCCAUAUGGAUCUAGCAUCAAUCAAGCAGUAUAUUACCCUGUGCCAUUGAGCCAGCCCAGCUUUCCUGCUUUUUGCCAAACAAAUAUAAAAGAGACAAGUCACAGACUCCAACUUUAACCUUUAGGAAUUCUAGACUUAGCAGUAAUAUAAACCAGCCAUGUGUUUUAAUUUUUUUCUUUAAUUAUUACAUAUGCCUUUGUUACAAUGGAUGAAAUGAAUGCUGGUGUACAAAGUCUUAAGUGUGUUUUAGGUUCCCAGUUUCUUGAAAGUUUAUAAGAAAAUAAAAUGUGUUUUAUUCAAGUCUCCCUGAGGAAUCCUCCCUUAUAGAUAACAUCU